GGUAUUACGGAUCGAAAGAGUAGAUUACUUCGCAACCGAAAAAUAUCCUUUGUAAAGGUUGUAUGGCAGAACCACACACCAAGGAAAGCUACAUGGGAGCUAGAAUAAGACUUUAGAGCCUAGUACUCUCAGUUGUUCGAUCAAGAUUAAGAGGCAAAUUUGAUAGACCAAAUUUCUUUAAGGGGGGGAGAGUUGUAACACCCCAACCCUUUC
rnacentral:lncRNA from 1 species